GUAGCUGAGAUAUCCCAAAAUGGCUUGAUAUUCAGGAAAGUUUGACUUAAACUUCAAGUCUUUUAGGAAUUUGGCGGUUGUUUCGGGGUCUUUGGUUAGAUUUUUGAAAUGUUGAAUGACAUGUUCAUGAGGGUCUAGUUUCAUGACGCAUAUAGCUUCGGUGAAUUGUUUCGAAACCGUUUGAUGUUCGAUCACUCGCUUUACUGCUUCCGAUCCAUGCAUUAUCCAUCCCUCUUCUUCGGACAUCAUGAGG
rnacentral:lncRNA from 1 species